AGCUGAAUCAGCGAGUCAGGCAUGCGAUGGCUGCAGCAGCUGGAGAGCUCUGGAGGUCAUUAUGGCUCUUCACACACAGAAGAGAAGAAAGAGGGAGGAGCAGAGAGCAGAGGAAACUGAGCUGACAGGUAAUAUAUGCUCCAUGUGCCUUCCUCCCUCCGGACGGGAGUUCGCCCCCCAUGCCGGCUGGUCCGCACUGGCGUCUCUGCCUUUUCUUCUUCGAUUUGGAUGCACUAGGGGGUCAAGCGCGUGGUCGGUGAGAGGGAGUGGAAUUUACAGCUCUGCAGCAGCAAGGGGAAAAACUACUUCUCUGGGAACACCACACAUAGCAGGAAACUGCUGGUCAGGCUGCUGCAGCACAGCACUCUCUGGUUCAUUACCUCCUCGUGGCUGCAGCACGGAAGACAUCUAAAAGACGGACUCAGUAACUGAAACUCCCUGCUCGUGAAACAUGCAGCAUUUGUCUUGGAUCUUUUCACUCCGAGCCACUUUCGUAUGGAAUACGACUGUCGGGAUGGUUCGCCAACACUCAUUUCUGCUCAAAUUACUGGAACCAUGUUUGGUGAUUCAAGACUUCUGUAACUACAAGGGGGACAGGUGUACGCCAGCCACGAAGGGACGUUGGUGUCACGGUGAGGCGCGAGUUUCAGGCCAGGUGGGGGGGUGAAUCGGACUGAUGAAAAAAAAACAGACGUGGUGGCAUAUUAAUUCUCCGGGGAGGGCUGCUGAUAUGUGUGUCAGUGAGUGAACCCACAACACCAAGGGUAGUAACCCAAUUUCUCUCUGCAUGCUUUCCAAUCAUUAGGCAGGGGCAGGGCUGUAGUGCUGCAGUGCCAUCUCCCCCUCUCAACACACUCAUCCCUAAAUCUUUACUAACACUGGAGUCCAGCCAUACCUCGCCAUCAUAUCUAACCCCGUCAAGCACCAAACUCACCCAGGAUUUCCACCCCUGCUCAGAAUAGCCUGUCUAAGUGUUCUGUUAUAUUUCCACCCAUGCGCCUCUCCUUUUGGCCUGGUAUUGGAUAGGCUCCUGAGAGGAGGGGGAUGAGACAGGGCGGUGUAGACUUGUGGAAUGUGUGGAGCUGGAGCAAAGAUUCAUUAGAGAGCUACUGAACAUUUCAUGCUGCCAUGCAAACAGUUAUUGAUCUCUAGCACAUAGCAUUAGAGCUCUAGAGAAGCUUCUAGAACGAACAGACCGAGGUCAA